rnacentral:rRNA from 1 species
GACGAACGCUGGCGGCGUGCUUAACACAUGCAAGUCGAACGGAAAGGCCCUGCUUUUGUGGGGUGCUCGAGUGGCGAACGGGUGAGUAACACGUGAGUAACCUGCCCUUGACUUUGGGAUAACUUCAGGAAACUGGGGCUAAUACCGGAUAGGAGCUCCUGCUGCAUGGUGGGGGUUGGAAAGUUUCGGCGGUUGGGGAUGGACUCGCGGCUUAUCAGCUUGUUGGUGGGGUAGUGGCUUACCAAGGCUUUGACGGGUAGCCGGCCUGAGAGGGUGACCGGCCACAUGGGGACUGAGAUACGGCCCAGACGCCUACGGGAGGCAGCAGUGGGGAAUAUUGCACAAUGGGCGGAAGCCUGAUGCAGCAACGCCGCGUGCGGGAUGACGGCCUUCGGGUGGUAAACCGCUUUCGCCUGUGACGAAGCGUGAGUGACGGUAAUGGGUAAAGAAGCACCGGCUAACUACGUG